CAGGGCGGGCGGGCGGUG
rnacentral:miRNA from 1 species